rnacentral:lncRNA from 1 species
AGAAAUGUGAUUUAAAUGCCAUGCCAUGUAUGCCUCAUAUUUUAGUAUAUGCAUUAUCAUAAAGGAAAACUAAUGAAAAGGGCUUGAAAACUUUAAGUUUUAACGAUAAGGAUAAAAUAAAGGGUAAAGUGAAUAGUACCAGGUUUGACUUUUUAGUGUAAAAAUGUGGUUUUUCGUUAAAGUGAACAGUACCGUGAGCUUUUCGUUAAAACUCCCUUAUCAUAAUUAUGCAUAUUGUUGCAUGGUGUUGUGGAGGCCCAGGUAAGCUACAGGUGAGUACAUUAUGCUGGUAAUGGUUAUGAGAUAUGAUGAUGAUGAUGUUGAGAUGUAUAUUAGAGCUCAUUAAUCUGCACCCCGGUG